rnacentral:rRNA from 1 species
UACGGAGGGUGCAAGCGUUAUCCGGAUUCACUGGGUUUAAAGGGUGUGUAGGCGGGCUGUUAAGUCAGUGGUGAAAUCUCCCGGGCUCAACUCCAGAACUGCCUUUGAUACUGAGAGGCUUGAGUCCGGGAGAGGUGAGUGGAACUGCGAGUGUAGAGGUGAAAUUCGUAGAUAUUCGCAAGAACACCAGUGGCGAAGGCGGACUCACUGGCCCGGUACGUGACGCUGAGGUGCGAAAGCGUGGGGAGCAAACAGG